ACCUGAGCUUUCGUGGAGGAGAGUUGACGUGAAAAAGCUGAAACUCGUGGGCUACAACAUCGGAAGGCGUUCGCGUUGUCGCCACCCUGGUAUUAGCCAAGCGUUGACCUUGUCCAUCGGUUGCACUUGAUCGAACACGACACAGCCAUUACAAUACCCACGAAUGAAAGCGGACGAAGGCAAGCAGGCAAAAUCUUCCUCUCUUUCAGUGCAUGUUCGUUCGCGUAGACACGGCUGUGUAGAUAAUCAUGAUUGAGGUCGGGUUACUAAACAAAGUGAGCACUGUCUUUGGCGAAGGAUGGAGUCUAUUCUCCGUCCCCCAAAACCCACAGCUAACCUCGUCAAAUCAGGUGGGAGUUGACCUCAAAGUAAACACCUCAGUAAAGGAGCACCUUCACAACUUUAGAAAAUCUCAUACGUCUCAAUACAUUGACAGACUAUUCCACCAAGAUGAAACCUGGACCAAAGUUACAUGCACACGUCCACCACAGUUAAAAACUCCCGUAUAUAACCAAGUCCAUGGGCAUGAUCUCCAGUGUACCGGCUAGACGCCAUGGCAAAGCAUCAGUUGCUGCCGCUCGCAGCGCUUAUACUUCUGGCGUCGGCAGAUACUCAUGUGACCCAACCUCCAGUUCUUUAAUGAAUUCACACUUGUCUACAUUUUAGCUUCGCCGGAUGCGCUGUCCUGGAGAAUGUGAUGCUGCGUCGCUGCGACUACUGCUCAGGUUACGAUGCCACUGUUCAUCACGUUAUCGAAGACGGCUGGAAUGAACUUGACGUUGGUGGUGGUGCAUGGUUUGUGAUCAGGUGCUGCGAGUGCUACGUAUUUCGCAGCGGGAUUCAAAGACUGUGACAAAGAUUACGCCAAGAAUGGCUGCGAGAUCAACGUCCACACCGACCCCAACAACUGCGGCAACUGUGGUAUCAAGUGCGGCGGGUGUGCGAAUGCCGUACCUACCUGCAAGUCCGGAAAGGGCGAGUUCUCCUGCACAGCACCGUACCAGAACUGCGACAACAGCUGGAGCGACGGGUGGGAGAUCAACGUGAGCAACGACGUCAACAACUGCGGUGGGUGCAGGAAGAAGUGCAGCCCUGUGGCACACGCCAAUGUUAAGUGCAGCAACAGCAAAUGCGAGUACACUUGUCACCCAGGGUGGAGGAACUGCGACAACAACUGGAUGAACGGGUGCGAGACGGAGGUGAGCAUGAACGUGAACAACUGUGGCGGGUGCAAUAUAAAGUGCUCGCAGCCAAAGUACUACGGCGGUGAAGCGGGAUGCACAUGCGAGGCGGAAUCUUGCAAGAAGUGGCUGAAGUAUGAAAAGGCGAAGUAGUGCUGUGUGGAGAACAAUGGUGGGAAGGACGACGGCAAGAAGGGAGGCGAUGGCGACAAGAAGGGAGGCGACGAUGGUAAAAAGGGAGGUGAUGAUGGAAAGAACGGGGGUUAUGACGGGAAGAAGGGAAGCGAUGGCGGCAAAAAGGGGGUGAGGGUGGCAAGAAGGGAGGUAAGGACGGCAGGAAGAAAAGCAGUGGUAAGUGUUGAGAAGAUGACGAGUAGGGCGGAGAUGCCUACUAGAAUUUAAAUGGCGAUGGCAUAAAGGAAUGUAAAGAUGGAGGUGAUUGGAGAUAGCAGAAUACCAGUUUAAAGGGGAUAUAAGCGGGCUACCGAUGAAGGUACAACCGUUUAAUUAACUGAGUCAACUUUGGGAAAAUCUAUGGCUUAUCCGAGAAUGCAUCAGCAGUGGAAUCAGUGUUGUAAGUCUCAGGUGUAGUAUAUGUGCAGUAGAGUGCUGUAAUGGAAUGAUCGACAUGAAGCAGUUUCGGAUUGUAAGAGAAGCAUUCACGUUCAAUAUAAUUAUUGUUCCAGUGCCACUUA